rnacentral:rRNA from 1 species
UACGUAGGGACCAAGCGUUGUUCGGAUUUACUGGGCGUAAAGGGCGCGUAGGCGGCAAAUUAAGUCAGCUGUGAAAUCUCCGAGCUUAACUCGGAACUGUCAGCUGAUACUGAUGUGCUAGAGUGCGGAAGGGGCAAUCGGAAUUCUUGGUGUAGCGUGAAAUGCGUAGAUAUCAAAGAGGAACACCUGAGGUGAAGACGGGUUGCUGGGCCGACACUGACGCUGACAGCGCGAAAGCCAGGGGAGCAAACGGG